GAUGAACGCUAGCUACAGGCUUAACACAUGCAAGUCGAGGGGAAACGGCAUUGAGUGCUUGCACUCUUUGGACGUCGACCGGCGCACGGGUGAGUAACGCGUAUCCAACCUUCCCAUUACUGUGGGAUAACCUGCCGAAAGGCAGACUAAUACCGCAUAGUCUUCGAUGACGGCAUCAGAUUUGAAGUAAAGAUUUAUCGGUAAUGGAUGGGGAUGCGUCUGAUUAGCUUGUUGGCGGGGUAACGGCCCACCAAGGCUACGAUCAGUAGGGGUUCUGAGAGGAAGGUCCCCCACAUUGGAACUGAGACACGGUCCAAACUCCUACGGGAGGCAGCAGUGAGGAAUAGUGGUCAAUGGACGGAAGUCUGAACCAGCCAAGUAGCGUGCAGGAUGACGGCCCUAUGGGUGGUAAACUGCUUUUGUAUGGGGAUAAAGUUAGGGACGUGUCCCUAUUUGCAGGUACCAUACGAAUAAGGACCGGCUAAUUCCGUG
rnacentral:rRNA from 1 species